UUCUUUCGCGUGUUAGAAUGAUUAAAGAAUUUCGGUAUGAGAUGGGCAUGCGUCCCAUUAGCUAGUUGGUGAGGUAACGGCUCACCAAGGCGACGAUGGGUAGGGGGCCUGAGAGGGUGGUCCCCCACACUGGUACUGAGACACGGACCAGACUCCUACGGGAGGCAGCAGUGAGGAAUAUUGGUCAAUGGAGGCAACUCUGAACCAGCCAUGCCGCGUGAAGGAUGACGGCCCUAUGGGUUGUAAACUUCUUUUAUAUGGGAAGAAACUUAUCUACGUGUAGAUAACUGACGGUACCAUACGAAUAAGGAUCGGCUAACUCCGUGCCAGCAGCCGCGGUAAUACGGAGGAUCCAAGCGUUAUCCGGAUUCAUUGGGUUUAAAGGGUCCGUAGGCGGAUUUUUAAGUCAGUGGUGAAAGCCGGCAGCUCAACUGUCGAACUGCCAUUGAUACUGGAAAUCUUGAGUACAAAUGAAGUAGGCGGAAUGAGUCAUGUAGCGGUGAAAUGCAUAGAUAUGACUCAGAACACCGAUUGCGAAGGCAGCUUACUAACAUGUAACUGACGCUGAGGGACGAAAGCGUGGGGAGCGAACAGGAUUAGAUACCCUGGUAGUCCACGCCGUAAACGAUCAUCACUCGCUGUUGGCGAUAUACUGUCAGCGGCCAAGCGAAAGUAUUAAGUGAUGCACCUGGGGAGUACGCCGGCAACGGUGAAACUCAAAGGAAUUGACGGGGGCCCGCACAAGCGGUGGAGCAUGUGGUUUAAUUCGAUGAUACGCGAGGAACCUUACCAGGGCUUAAAUGUAGUAUGACCGGUCUGGAAACAGACCUUCCCUUCGGGGCAGAUUACAAGAU
rnacentral:rRNA from 1 species